GUGCAGUACGCUCAAACAGGGGAUGCAGUUACCCUUUAAGGAGUAUUAAUUCAGUGGCAGCAAUUAAAAGCAUGAUUAUACAACUCAUUUUAUGUUUUGUUUUUUUACAGGUCUUUGUGAAUCCAACCACCUUUUGAUAUCGAAAAUACGAUAAAGCCAACGGCCCUUUUUAGGGCCACUUUGUUAUUCUUUGUUACAAACAUUUCUUUUGUGGUGUUAUUGUUGUUGUGUUUUUUGUUUGUUUGUUUUGUCUAACAAUGUCUUCUGAGCACUCUAGACUGCAGGAAUUGCUGAGGGCGGGGAAUGACUUGGCAGAUGAGUUUGCAGCCAGAAGACCUUCGAAGCCAAGAAACCGACGGGGGACUGGAGGCUCCAAUGUUACGUGGAGGAAGAGGGACCAGGAUGGGAACAUCGUACCCCAAAAUUUUCGGAGGAGUCGAUCUGUUCAGUCUGUCGCCCCAAGGGAACCCCCUUGGGUGGAUGAGUCGCAGACGGCUGAUAUUUCUCAGGAUGUCCCAAGUCUUGUUCAGCCUGUUGCCCGUAGGGAACUCCUAGAUGUUGGGGAUCGCACACGGCUGAUAUUUCUCAGGAUGUCCCAAGUCUUGAUCAACAUCUUCAGGCACUCAGAAAUCUGCUGAGUUCUGUCAUUGUCCCUGCAUCGGCAGAAGAGGAGCAGACACCCACCAUGUCUGCAUGGAGCAGAAGACAAUCCAUCUGCGAAAGAAAAUUCAGGGCUGCAAUGCCAGAGCUUCUGAAUUCAAUGUUGGCAGCAGAGACUGUGAACAGGCAUUGUUGUCAGCAAUGCCAAACUGUUGAUGCUGUGGUCCGGUGCCUCGACUGUGUUGCCUCAGGAACUCAGUUUCUCUGUUCAGCAUGUGACGUGACUAUCCACAGGAAAAACAUCUUCCAUGACAGAGAGGCCAUGAUUGAUGGUUUUUUCGAACCCAUUCCCCCCACAUCCUUUGUGGUGGUGGGUGAAGGUGGCCAACAUCAACUUGGUGAACAAGUGUGCCUUCUUCCGAUUCCUCCACCAACCCAAAUCUGCUCCUGUGGUCCAAACCAAGACUUCUCCAUUCUCCCUGGAAAGCAGACUGUCUUGGUGACUAUCAACGGUCCAUACAAAUUGUGCUUGCCUGCUGUGUGCUGUCCAAGUUGUUCUUGCAAAUGGACUCCAGGAACAAGUGACUUGCUUGGAUGCAGAUACUGGCCAGCAACCACCAGCUGCCAACUCCUGUACAAGUUUGAUGUCUUCACAUCAUUUGAGCAGAUGAAGUUAUCCAGCCCAGCUGUCUCAACAAGCAUUUCUCAAAAUGCUUGAACAUCGAUCCCUUCGCACAGGAAGGACGGGCCGUAUCUGUGGCGAUACCUUCCACAGAGUCUUUCGUGAGUUUGCUUUCUGCAAUUUAAAAAAAAAAGACCUCUGCCUGGUUGAGCCCUUCCAAUGUCCAGCAUGCACACCAGACAUGCUGGCUAUAUCUGUGGAUGGUAAUCGAAAGCAUUACCGCUUCAAUAAGUCCAAGGGGACUGAUGAACCAUCUCUUUUUGAAGGACGGUUCAUUGCUGAUGAUACUAAAGUUUCUGCCUUUGUAGACCAGAUCAGAAGCCAGAUGUUGAGUAGGACUGGUCGUGAUGUCUGUGGGCCAGCAUCAUUUACAGCAGGCAGGGAAACGUCCCAGAAGUCAAGGGCCAAGGUGGAUGAAGAGGGCCUGCGCAUAGCUGUGUGCAGGCAUGGAAUGUUGCUGCAGGGCCUGAACCACUACCGUGGGGAAGUCUAUGCAUACCCCAUGUUCCUGCAGAAGGAGCUGGCUCAAGCCACAAAUGCAACAUUCUUUUGCAUGGACCUUACUUGCAGGUAUUGGCCAUAUUUGGAGAAGAUGGCAGAAAAGUUGCCUCAGCUCCGACACCUUACAGAGAUGAAGCCAUUUCUCUCUGUAAUGCAUGCCAAGGCUCACACUGGCAAAUGUGAGGUGAGGUGGGGGGGCAGAAGUCAGGAUGGUGCAGGAAACACUGUUGGAGAGGAGGUAGAGCAAGUUAACAGUUUCCUGUCAAGAGCAGCUCUCACAACAAAGUACAUGACCAAGUCAGGCAGAUCAGAUAUGCUAACAGUGCUUGUUUGGAACCAAAGGAAGGUGGACGGUCUCCACAAGACACUAACAAAAAGAUUUGUAAAAAGUACACAGAGGGCAGAAGUGGAAGAAGCCAACCUUGACAGUCUCAAGCAGGAACUCAACAUCUCACUGCAGGACACUGAGCAGUGGGUGUUGGAUGUGAAGCAAUGGGCUGCCACAGAAAGAACUGGUGCUCAUAAUAUUCAGGAAGAGCUCCGGAGAGAAAUUGAUGAAAUAAUCUACUCUCUCCGAAAGAAAAAGCAUGACCUCAAUCGACAAAAUGACAGCAACCAGACAAGACAGAGGAAGAGAAGGAGGAUUGGAGAGCAGAAGAAGAAGCUCCAAGAGAAGAUCCUGCUCGAUCCUACAUAACGGAUCGCUAGAUAACACUUGUUUUUACUUUAUAUUUGUAUUGCAUUUAAUUGUUUAAUCAAAUGUAGCUAGUACACUGAAUGUUUAAAGUGUAUCAUAGUCUACCUAGCUUGUGUUAAUUUAAUUUCAUAAAUUUAAUUUAUCAGACAGACAGACAGACAGACAGACAGACAGACAGACAGACAGACAGACAGACAGACAGACAGACUCCCUCCUUCCCUCCCUCCCUCCCUCCCUCCCAGAGGCGGAGUGGCCGUCGGGAAAAUCGGGAGAUGACCCGGCCGGCCUGCGAGGUCAGGUGGACCGGCCCACAAUUGUGUAGCGGCCUGCGAAAUCAGUUGGACUGGCCCACAGUUGAGAGCGGCCGCGAGGCGUCUGCAAGCCGGCCCUGAGCAUAAUUUAUUCCUGUCAAGACGCCGUGAAAUUCCCCGAAAUAAACAAUAUAUGUCUCGGGAACAUCCAACCAAUAUUUAUACCACUUGCUUACUCUCUAUGUCUCAUUCAUUACUUCAUUUAAUUCUUCAUUAUUCAGGCGUUACAGAACUUUCACGGCCAUAAAUAAAUAACACGAAC
ensembl:lncRNA